rnacentral:rRNA from 1 species
CAUUAUACGGCGAACUGCGAAUGGCUCAUUAAAUCAGUUAUCGUUUAUUUGAUAGCCCCUUACUACUUGGAUAACCGUGGUAAUUCUAGAGCUAAUACAUGCUGAAAACCCCGACUUCGGAAGGGAUGUAUUUAUUAGAUUAAAAACCAAUGCCCCUCGGGGCUCACUGGUGAUUCAUGAUAACUUCUCGAAUCGCACGGCCUUGCGCCGGCGAUGGCUCAUUCAAAUUUCUGCCCUAUCAACUUUCGACGGCUGGAUCUGGGCCCGCCAUGGUGACAACGGGUAACGGAGGGUUAGGGCUCGGCCCCGGAGAAGGAGCCUGAGAAACGGCUACUACAUCCAAGGAAGGCAGCAGGCGCGCAAAUUACCCAAUCCCGACUCGGGGAGGUAGUGACAAUAAAUACUGAUACAGGGCUCUUUUGGGUCUUGUAAUUGGAAUGAGUACAAUUUAAUUCCCUUAACGAGGAACAAUUGGAGGGCAAGUCUGGUGCCAGCAGCCGCGGUAAUUCCAGCUCCAAUAGCGUAUAUUAAAGUUGUUGCAGUUAAAAAGCUCGUAGUUGAACCUUGGGCCUGGCUGGCCGGUCCGCCUCACCGCGUGCACUGGUCCGGCCGGGUCUUUCCCUCUGGGGAGCCGCAUGCCCUUCACUGGGCGUGUCGGGGAACCAGGACAUUUACUUUGAAAAAAUUAGAGUGUUCAAAGCAGGCUUAUGCUCGAAUACAUUAGCAUGGAAUAAUAGAAUAGGACGCGCGGUUCUAUUUUGUUGGUUUCUAGGACCGCCGUAAUGAUUAAUAGGGACAGUCGGGGGCAUCAGUAUUCAAUAGUCAGAGGUGAAAUUCUUGGAUCUAUUGAAGACUAACUACUGCGAAAGCAUUUGCCAAGGAUGUUUUCAUUAAUCAGGAACGAAAGUUAGGGGAUCGAAGACGAUCAGAUACCGUCGUAGUCUUAACCAUAAACUAUGCCGACUAGGGAUCGGACGAUGUUAUUUUUUGACUCGUUCGGCACCUUACACGAAAGUACAAGUU